GGUAAGUCAAUUUUGCCUUUUAAAAGAAAUUAAAUGCUUAAAGGAAUUUAAACAGGUAAUUGCAUGUAAAAAGGAAAGUACAAAUUCACAAAUACAAUCUGAAAUGGUAAAAACCUAAUUAUCCCCAGCAGAGUCUCCAUGCUGUCGCGCCCCUUUCUUCCCUCAUCGCGUUGGGAGAAUCAAGUUAAUGACAUUUUGGGUAUAGGACAACUCAUUCCUUUAGGGAAUUGGGUUUUGCAUUUUUUGAAGAGUCGCCACCUAAUUAUUUAUGGUGCAUUAGGACACCUUCAAGGUUUAUUUCUAAGUUCGCUUGAUAACCGGAGAUAGGUUAAGGGCUUAAAAUUAUCCUAAGCGGAAGGUAUUAGGUACCCCGCCUAGUGUGGUUCCAGACCAGAUAGUUCUUGUGAGUUUGGUGUGCUUAACAUAUAAAUAGAUAGGGCUCAAAUAAGAGGGGAUUCUAAUACACAAUUGUUUGAAGGUAAGCAAAGUUUUAAAGAAUAAUUAAAAGGUUGAUUUUUAAUCAAGGAGUUACAAUGAUUUAAAGGAAAAGAAAAGGAAAAGCGGAUGGGGGGUCCUAGGUUUCUUUAUAAUAUGGAUCACAUCAAUGCAAUACCCGGUAAUCAAUCCUUUAAAAGAUGGGCUACACGUGGUAUUAGCGUACAUGUCAUCAUAUCCAUAUCUACCAUUUUCCACCCUGUUUAAGGUACUAAACCGUGGAUUGGUCUCGACCACUAUUGCAUGCUAAUACCCGCCCCAUUUCUAUCAGUCUCGGAGGUACUUCAGAUUACUAUUCCUAAAAGGGGUGGAUAUUAGGCUGACUUGGGAUUUCAAAGGUGAAAAAUCUAAGACGACAUACAAAAGAAUUAGGAGUGCACAUUAAGGGGAAAACACAUAAACAAUGAAGGCUCAGGUAUACCUCCUCAAACAACGCAAUUAGAUAGCAUAACUCAAACAACAAGCAAGGUCUGAUUUUUUAGAAAAAUAUUUAAGUAAAGGAAAUUAUUGUUGUUGAAGCAGGCCUUGUCUAUUACAUAACUCAGCUAGGAAACAAGAAUCAGGUCUGCCUGCUGGUUGUAGCAAUUACUAAUUAACAGAGGUAAAUUCAGUUUUAUUGUUAUUACUUAAGACUUGCCUAAGUGUUUAGGGGAGCUCUUAGGAACAUGGUAUCUAAUUUUUGAUUCUGAAUAUGGCAAAGUAUAAUAAUUUAAAACAAAUGGUUUGAGAUCCUAUAGGAAUGCUUGCUAAAUCAUGUUAAUAAAGAGAGACUGAAUUACUUAAAAACUGGUUCAGAAUAGACUGAUUUUAAAUUAAACUAGUUUCAGAUCUUGCAGACGAUGGUAUCCGCUGUUGCUGAUUUUUUAUUCCUAUAACAUGAUAUCUAGGAUUGCUAAUUUUAGACCCUUAUAGACAUGAUGUAUAAAUGGAUAACGUUAAACCCUAUAGGCAUGAUAUCUAGUAGACAAUGGAAACAUGCAUGAUUUUUACUUGGAAAUUCCUAUAUGCAUGAUUUCUAUACAUUAUGCUAAUUUUAACAUUAUGAACAUGAUGCCAGAUUAUAACCGAUUGAAUCCUAAAAACAUGUCCAAUAGUGAUAAACGCGUAGAAAUUAGGUAAUUCCUACAGGAAGGUUAUCUAGAAGUUGAAACAUGCAGGAUUUAAGGUGAGUUCUAUAGACAUGGUAUGCAAAUGCGAUUUGAAAAUGCAGAAUUGAAAGUAGUCCUAUAGGCACGUUUUCUACCCUUGAACAUGCAUAAUUACCCAAACCAUGUUUACUAGCCAUCCCCCAGUGUUUAUUACAAAUUAUUACAAACUAAAAAAACUGAAUUACGUCAAAAAAUAAAUAAAAAUACAACCAGAGAAGGUCUGAUUCUUGGUUCCUCCCUGAGCUAUGGAAUAAACUGCCUUGAGAUGCCAUGUUUCAAAGCUUUUCUCAAAACUGGGUGUGUCAGAGUUCCCUAAGGGUCUAAAAGAACCCCAGGCAGUGCUUACGCUGAGAUUCAUAGAACCAGAUAGAGAUGAGUGCGGUGUGGAAGGGCCAACCCCUAUAUGUCCAACUUCAGAGGGAGCUCAUGCAUCGCAAGUUAGAGCUCUCGCAAGAGGGCCAGAGCUUAAGUCUAAGAAGAUACCAGAAGUGCAGGAAUAAGGUUUUAAAACUGAUGGGAUAAGAGAGAGGGGUAAAGGGUGAUAGAGAAAUAGUAAUUAGUAAAAACAGAGUUAAUAACUUCAUACAAAGGGAUUGCGGAUUGGGAAUUAUUGCAAAGAGCCUAUGUACUUAGGUAGGGAUCAGCUUGGGCAUACACAACAAUAGGAGGUGCUGCCAUGCCUAUAAACUAAUUAGAACACACCACAAUUAGAGAAGGCAUAGAGGUUAUGAUCCCAGGGGGAUAAGGUUUGGGUUAUGCACAUCAAUGUUCAGUGUUGUCAUGCCCCAAACCAACCAUAAAUACCAAACAUAUUGGGGAUGGGGAUUUAGGAUUCAAAAGCCAUGAUAAGUAAUUCACAGAAGCAUCAACUCAGAAUAGAAAAGGCAGGCUAAAGCAUGCUUAAUAAUUGAACUUGGUUAAAUACUAACAGGAGACAAACAAGGAUAAAAGAAAUAGUAAAGAAACAUGUUGUUAUUGAUACAGAAGAUUAAUCAGAACAUACCAGUAAAUAUGCAAAAAAUGUAGAGAAAAAUAAGCAAGCUUCCCACAGCCUAGCCUUGGCUUUCAGCUGGCUAGGUAAGGUAGUAGUAUAAACAGCAACAGAGAGAAAUGAGAUUUUAGUGGAGUGUGUGUAUGAACUCAAGUGUUUAUGUCUUGUGAUCGUGUGUUUGAAAGAAGGAAAAGGGGAUAUUUAUAGUUUUGAAAACAUGUGAGAAAUAAGGCAGUAAAUAAAGUUCAAUGCACCUAUGGAAAUAAUCAGCAAUCAGAAUCAAUCAACCAAGUGAUUCCCCUUUAAUUGAGGAAUCACUUAUUAACGGGCUAACAGGUUUAAAAGAGGGAAAGAAAAUCAGUUUGCAGGCAGAAUAAUUAUUACUAUAAAAAGAAGCAGCAAAACAUUAAAUACACAAUAGAGUCCUAGUACAAAAAUACUUAUUUUGGGAAACAGACUCAACAAGGCAAUAAUAAGGAAAGAGAUCAAUUACUUUAACAUACGAGUAAAAUUCAGAAUUCACAAAGGAGAAGUUUUGAAAUCAGCCCCACAAUUUAGGAUUGAUUAAAGAAAGAAUUUCAGCAUAUAAACAGAGUGCACAAGCCACAGACAUGCGAGGCCAGACUAUUGGCAAAGCAACGAUACACAAUAAUAGUAUAAAGUUCAGCAACAUUCGAAGCAUGCUAGUCUAGUAGGUUAAGUCUCAUUGAAUCAGUAGUAAAGAAAUAGAGUAUCAGAAGAAUGCAAAAGGUCAAGUGAGAAAACCCUUCUAAAAGGCAUAGUUGAGUUUCAAAGAUAGCAGGAACCCAUCAUCAAAGAAAUCACAUAAAGAAAAGAGAUGUUGAAACAAAUGAACUUCAAAUCAAGUUGAGCAGUUUCAACUCAAAGGAAAUAGGUUUUUCUUUUAAGAAUAUUCAAGCUUAACAAAUGAUAAACAUAUAGAUCAAACAAAUAUUAGGAAACAAUUUCAAAAACUCGGAUGAACCCAAAAGAAAUUAGGGUUUUCAACAUCAAUCAAGUCUAAAGAUGAUAUUCAAAUAAAUCUGAGAGAUAUUUAGAAAGAUGGUAUCAGAAACUCGAAUGAACCCUAAGAAAUUAGGGUUUUCAACACCAAUCGAGUUUGGAGACGAUAAACAAGUAAAUCAAACAAACAGUAACAAAUAAUCUCAAAAACCUCAAAAGAAAUCAGAGGUUUUAUCAUGCUAAAUUUAGAAAAAGAUUUUGAAGAGAAGAACUUGAGAGAAAACCUUAAACGGAAAAAGAUGAAGAGCCACUUUUUUUUUGAAAGCAAAAAUUAAAGAGACCUCGAGAAGGCGUUUAAGAACUAAAGUGAACCUGAGAGAAGUUGAAAACUCUUAGAGAUUAAGGUUUAAGAAGAUCCCCAAGUGACGAGAAAUGCCUUGAAAACUAUCAAUCUAAACAGGAGAGUCAAAAGGUCUGACUCGAAUGACCAUGGCUGACCGGAGAAAGAUCAUAGACGACCGAUAAAUAGUCAUUGAACAAAGACUAGACCAAGCUACUUAGAAUUUGGUCAUAAGACCACAACAACAAGCACAUAGAAGCCAUGAGGCUCUGAUGCAGGUCUUAGAUGACCAUGGGAAGCCAUAGAUUAUGGUAGAUUAGGGUGGCGGCGGAUAGGGUUUGAUGUUGUUGAAGAGAGGAUUUGAGAGAGGAGGGGAAUUCAGAGGCAGCGUAUGGUGGAAAAUGAUAGGGUUUAGGGGGUCAUUUAGGAUUAGUU
rnacentral:lncRNA from 1 species